rnacentral:lncRNA from 1 species
GUGAAACCCAUAGAACAAGAAAUCAAUCAUAAGCCUGUUCCAUUAAAAGUAUAUUUCUGCAAAGCUCUAGAGAAAGAAUUUAUCCAUGAAAAAAAAAAAUAUGAAUCUAAAUUGUAUCAAAGACUUCAAGACUCAUUUUAUGUAUGCUGCUGAUGAGCUUUUGAGGUCUAUGCGCUCCCUUUCUUCUAAUCUCCCCUGAUACCGGUAAGACCGUUCAUUCUCGAAAUCUAAUUGUGAUUCCUCCGAAAUCCCAUCUCCAUUUUCCAUUGAUCUAUCAUAAGCACGUUCGUUUACUCCACUAGAGUUACCAGUCUGAUUUCUCAUCGAACGAUGACAAUUUUGAGAUUUUAUUUCUUGAUAAUUUUCAUCAGCAUCAGCUUCAACACUAUCACUGCCUACUUUCUUGAUAUGCCCAUAUUUUUCUCUACAUGCCUCGAGUUCAGAAUCUUAAACCUUUAUCUCUUCCUCUCUUUUUAACAGGAAGUCUUUCAUUACUCGCAUAGCUUCCUAAUCGUAUUCGGCCUCCUCUUCCAUCAUUCUCUGGUACUGUAAGGCCUCCAUUUGGACGAUCGCCUUCUCUGCUUGCAGUCGAAUAAUCAUAGCCAUUGCAUUGUUCGCUGCAAUUGCAGAAGCACUUCAUUCUUCGUCCUGUUCCAAACGAACUUGUCUCUUUAAACAACUUAAAAUGUUGCUGUCUGGAGUAUUUCAACAACAUGGUUUCCAUUAUUUUCGACCCAAUUUCAGAUAAGGGAGCUGGAGAUGGUUUCAAUUUAGUGCCGCUUGAACAAUUUAGGGCAAAAAUUAUGGAAGGAAAAUUUGAGAGGGAAAUGCAAGGUAUUACCCGAUGAAAAUGGUCUUUCAAAAUGGGUAGACGGGUUUUAAUACAGAGAAAUGGGUUUUAAAAAUGGGCCGGGUCGAAGCCAUGGUGAAAAAUUCAAAUUUCAAACAAUUUUCAGCUUUGUGGCGCCACAAACUUUUUUUCUCUUUUUAAAAAAAAAAAAUCAAUUUCCACCUCAUUGUGUCAUUGUUUGUGUCAAGCUUUGUGGCUAUAUAGCAUUAUCCUUCUUGAAAUAUUAC